UCAAGGUGGAACCAACUUUUUAUAGGAUUCAGUUACAGAUAGGAAAUAGAAAUAUAACAAGAGCCUAAGAUAUAUAAUAAAAUAAUAGAGCCUAUAGUUUCCAUAGUUCCCACAGAGCGUGUCAGCAGCAGUCUACCUGCAACCAUCAAACACAGAAUAAAUCAUCAGGUUGCAUUCAUUAAAUGGCAUAUUCAUGAUAUAUUAUAUUAUAUUGAUUGUAUUGAUCGCAACAGAUUUUACAAUUGCAAUAGGAACAGUUAGUGGGAAUGAUCAUUUGUGAAUCCCAAUUUUCAUUUGCUUAUUUUUCUUGAUCACUGAGUAACUAAAGUAGCUGAAAGCUCAAAAGAAACAUUUGCUUGUAAAAAAAAAAAAAAAAAAAUACAGAAGGAGUGACAUUUAAUAUCUAAUAAAGUCUUUAAAAAUCAAAGACGGAAAAGCUGUUUUAAAGAUGACACUGGUGUCUAGAAUCUGUACAAUUAUUGGAAGAUUAGUGAGACUUAAACAAUUUGUAUCACAACAAAAGGAAAACAAAAACAAAGACAGUGUCACUAUGUUCCUGCCAGAUACAGUAGUGGAAUAAUUCAAUGAGCCAAUAAUCAAUAAUAAUCAGACCCUCUAGUGGCAGCAGAUCUUAUUGGCUCCAAUAAAGGUCAAUCACACACAGCUGGCUCGGUUUCAGUGUUACUGCCGGUACUGCUCCACAAGAGCAACGUUACACUGUUUGAUCAGUCAGUGAGACAAUGACAGUGGAUAAUGACCUUAAUCGAUCUCUGAUAUUCUCACACAGCGAGGAAACAACAAACAGGUUCAAGUAUCCGGAGCGACCGCGAACUUUCCGUCAUGGCGUCAGUUCGCCUGAGCAGCCCGGUGGAGAGUCUGUUCCCUGGUGGAGAGUCAUUGUGGACUAGAGAGGGAAUACUGGGAAUAUCUGCUUCAUGGAGACGUUUGGAGGACGAGAGGAAGAAGAAAAGAGGACAUAAGACGAAGAACUGGAGUUUGUUGUGAGUUAGAAGGAGGACUGCUGCUGAGGCUCUGUGGGAACUAUGGAAGAGUCUUCAGUUUCUUACAGGUUGAAGGCUGAUGUCCAGAGUUACAGGAGGACUGGUGUUGACACGGCCUGCAGGAAACACAGAAGAGUCUUCAGAUAUUGGAGAGGUCCGUGGGGUGAAAUCCAACCUCAAAAUUAACCCAAAUGCCAUCGCUCCCAACCAGAACCCCGGACACGCUGCUGUAACAGUCUUCCACCGCAAUGCUGUGGUAUGUAUCUUACAUUAUUCUUGUAUAUGUAGUAGUGUCUAAUAUAACAUAGUUG